AUGAACGCUGGCGGUAUGCUUAACACAUGCAAGUCGAACGGUGUCUUCGGACACAGUGGCGGACGGGUGAGUAACGCGUGAGAAUCUGGCUUUAGGUCUGGGACAACCACUGGAAACGGUGGCUAAUACCGGAUGUGCCGAGAGGUGAAAGGUUAACUGCCUGAAGAUGAGCUCGCGUCUGAUUAACUAGUAGGUAGUGUAAUGGACUACCUAGGCGACGAUCAGUAGCUGGUCUGAGAGGACGAUCAGCCACACUGGGACUGAGACACGGCCCAGACUCCUACGGGAGGCAGCAGUGGGGAAUUUUCCGCAAUGGGCGAAAGCCUGACGGAGCAAUACCGCGUGAGGGAGGAAGGCUCUUGGGUCGUAAACCUCUUUUCUCAGGGAAGAACACAAUGACGGUACCUGAGGAAUAAGCAUCGGCUAACUCCGUGCCGGCAGCCGCGGUAAUACGGAGGAUGCAAGCGUUAUCCGGAAUGAUUGGGCGUAAAGCGUCCGCAGGUGGCUAUGUAAGUCUGCUGUUAAAGAGUCUAGCUCAACUAGAUAAGAGCAGUGGAAACUACAUGGCUAGAGUGCGUUCGGGGCAGAGGGAAUUCCUGGUGUAGCGGUGAAAUGCGUAGAGAUCAGGAAGAACACCGGUGGCGAAGGCGCUCUGCUAGGCCGCAACUGACACUGAGGGACGAAAGCUAGGGGAGCGAAUGGGAUUAGAUACCCCAGUAGUCCUAGCCGUAAACGAUGGAUACUAGGCGUGGCUUGUAUCGACCCGAGCCGUGCCGUAGCUAACGCGUUAAGUAUCCCGCCUGGGGAGUACGCCGGCAACGGUGAAACUCAAAGGAAUUGACGGGGGCCCGCACAAGCGGUGGAGUAUGUGGUUUAAUUCGAUGCAACGCGAAGAACCUUACCAAGGCUUGACAUGUCGCGAAUCUUCUUGAAAGGGAAGAGUGCCUUCGGGAGCGCGAACACAGGUGGUGCAUGGCUGUCGUCAGCUCGUGUCGUGAGAUGUUGGGUUAAGUCCCGCAACGAGCGCAACCCUCGUUUCUAGUUGCCAGCAUUAAGUUGGGCACUCUAGAGAGACUGCCGGUGACAAACCGGAGGAAGGUGGGGAUGACGUCAAGUCAGCAUGCCCCUUACGCCUUGGGCUACACACGUACUACAAUGCUCCGGACAGAGGGCAGCAAGCAUGCGAAUGCAAGCAAAUCCCGUAAACCGGAGCUCAGUUCAGAUCGCAGGCUGCAACUCGCCUGCGUGAAGGAGGAAUCGCUAGUAAUUGCAGGUCAGCAUACUGCAGUGAAUUCGUUCCCGGGCCUUGUACACACCGCCCGUCACACCAUGGAAGCUGGUAGUGCCCGAAGUCAUUACUCCAACCUUUCGGGGGGGAGGAUGC
rnacentral:rRNA from 1 species